AUUCCAGCUCCAAUAGCGUAUAUUAAAGUUGUUGCGGUUAAAAAGCUCGUAGUUGGAUUUCUGCCGAGGACGACCGGUCCGCCCUCUGGGUGAGUAUCUGGCUCGGCCUGGGCAUCUUCUUGGAGAACGUAUCUGCACUUGACUGUGUGGUGCGGUAUCCAGGACUUUUACUUUGAGGAAAUUAGAGUGUUUCAAGCAGGCUUACGCCUUGAAUACAUUAGCAUGGAAUAAUAAGAUAGGACCUCGGUUCUAUUUUGUUGGUUUCUAGGACCGAAGUAAUGAUUAAUAGGGACAGUUGGGGGCAUUAGUAUUUAAUUGUCAGGGGUGAAAUUCUUGGAUUUAUGAAAGACUAACUACUGCGAAAGCAUUUGCCAAGGAUGUUUUCAUCA
rnacentral:rRNA from 1 species